rnacentral:rRNA from 2 species
CGGACGGGUGAGUAACACGUGGAUAACCUACCUAUAAGACUGGGAUAACUUCGGGAAACCGGAGCUAAUACCGGAUAAUAUAUUGAACCGCAUGGUUCAAUAGUGAAAGACGGUUUUGCUGUCACUUAUAGAUGGAUCCGCGCCACAUUAGCUAGUUGGUAAGGUAACGGCUUACCAAGGCAACGAUGCGUAGCCGACCUGAGAGGGUGAUCGGCCACACUGGAACUGAGACACGGUCCAG